AGAGAGAGACAUGCGCGCAUAUCAAUAAGCGGAGGAAAAGAAACUAACAAGGAUUCCCUUAGUAACGGCGAGUGAAGCGGGAAGAGCUCAAAUUUGAAAUCUUCAAGGUUUUACCUUGACGAAUUGUAGUUUAAAGAAGUGUUUUCUGCUGAAGUUUUGGUAAAAGUUCUUUGGAAUAGGACAUCAUAGAGGGUGAGAAUCCCGUAUUUGACCAUUAUUUUCAGCUUUGUGAUACACUUUCAAAGAGUCGGAUUGUUUGGGAAUGCAGUCCAAAAUGGGUGGUAAAUUUCAUCUAAAGCUAAAUAUUGGCGAGAGACCGAUAGCGAACAAGUACCGUGAGGGAAAGAUGAAAAGAACUUUGAAAAGAGAGUUAAACAGUACGUGAAAUUGUCAAAAGGGAAGCGUUUGACACCAGUGUUGUUUUCUCGAAAAUCAAUUAAAAACUGGCUCGAUUUUGUAUUGCUUGAGACCUUAAAAGCUCACUGUACAUUUUUCGUGUCUUUUUUAAUGCACUUUUCGUUUAACAAGUCAACAUCAGUUUCUUUUGUUGUAAAAGGGUCAUUGGAAGGUGGCUUUCUUUUCGGAGAAAGUGUUUAUAGCCUUUGGCCUCUGCAAUCGAAGAGACUGAGGUCUGCAGCGUAGACUCUUCGGGGUUAGAUACAUUUGUGCUAAGUUAUAGCUUUUUAUAGACAACUUGUUGACUAUGAUUAGUCAUUGUAGCUUACUCGCUUAUGCUAUUUUACCUACGCUUAGGAUGUUGAAGAUGUAGCACAUCAU
rnacentral:rRNA from 1 species